rnacentral:misc_RNA from 1 species
GAUGAAGAACGCAGUGAAAUGCGAUAAGUAAUGCGAAUUGCAGAAUUCCAGUGAGUCAUCGAAUCUUUGAACGCACAUUGCGCCCGCCAGUAUUCUGGCGAGCAUGCCUGUUCGAGCGUCAUUUCAACCAUCAAGCCCCAGGCUUGUGUUGGAGCCCUGCGGCUGCCGCAGCCUCCCAAAACCAGUGGCGGGCUCGCUAUCACACCGAGUGCAGUAGUUUACUCUUCGCUCAGGGCGUGUGGCGGGUGCUAGCCGUGAAACCCCCAACUUCUCAAGGUUGACCUCGGAUCAGGUAGGAAUACCCGCUGAACUUAAGCAUAUCAAUAAGCGGAGGA